GUUGGGUUGGAAGAGAAAAAUAAGAUUGUCCAGCGUGUUAAUGAUUUGAUCUCUAAUAUUUUUAACCUCAUAGUGGCAGAUAUUUCCUCGUUUGACUGUCCUUUACCUAGCAUUACACCUGUCUCUAAAACACUCAUGUCGCAUUCCUUUGGUUUUGUCUUGCUCUUGACUCUUGGAGUUGGUUGCCUCCUGUGGAAACUCUGCAGCAGAGUACAUGGACGCAAGAGAGUACGAGUUGGUGCUUCAUCUCUGAA